ACAGAAAAAUAACAAAUAUAACGUGAAAACGUUUAAGUAUAUUAGGGUCAGACAAUCCAUUUGUCAAGUUCAUAGUUAAAUUGUACAGUUAUGUAGGUUCCUUCAAGUCAUGUGCUCAGGUGUCGUAAGAAAUUUAGGUCACCCGUCAAGAGGUCCCUCCUCGCAUUCUUUCCCCUCUCCUCACACUGUGUGCUUCCGGCAUUCUGCAUGGUUAAACUAAAGCAAGGUCAAAGGAGCCUUUGCGGAGGGGAGAAGCGCACUUUGAAGAGCUGAAAUUUCCUAUCCCCAGUGUUUGGCUAUGAGAGGCUGAUCAGCUGACAGAGGAACAGAUUGCCGAAUUCAAAGAAGCAUUCUCACUGUUUGACAAGGAUGGAGAUGGUACAAUCACCACA